CUUCCUAAAAGUUCCUGAGCAAAACUGCAAAAGAUGAAUUGCAUGGCUCCUUUUCUAGUUCCUCUGCAUCAAGCACAUAACAGGCAUAAACUGGAAUUAUGAACUGUGCCACAUUUGCUGACUGCCAAAGAAAUCUGGAUUUCCCAGGGCAAGUUUUUAAAGCCAUGAACCUCAACCAGUCCAGGGGUGUUCAAGGAUUUGACCCUACAGCUACCAGACCUGGAGCAUAAAAAUAUGGACGACCCAGAGAGUGAUUGUGUAAUUAUUAUACUACAACACAGACAAAUUUUUGGAUCAAUGGACACCUUUGGUGCUUUAAGAAUGCCAUGUUCCCAUCACCAGAGGGCAAACUGGAUUCAUGGAUACAUGCAAUGAUUUUUCAUGUCAUUUUACUGCUAUGUCCAACUGUUCAAGUUGUAAGGAGAGAACGUAGACUACAAGAGAAGUUGAGACUGCUUAUUUCCAUGGGUUUCCAAAUA